CCUAUAGGCUAUAGUCUCAUACCGGAAGUGAAACCCUAGCCUUCGAUCGUGUAUGACUCUCUUUUCUCUCGCUCGGAUCUCAAAUUGAACCGUAUAAGUAACUUUUCUUCCGAUCUUCGCUUCUCAAGGAACCGUCGCGGUGUUCAUACUUUGUGGUUUAGAAGCCUAAUCCAGUUCCCAAGUCGCGACUUAAAUUGAAAAGCUUUGACCAUGUCUCAUCUCCCAGCAACAACAAGUUCACUCAGUGAAGCUUCUGAGGCCAAAACUCCAUCUGAGGCUAUUGCCAUUCUUUACCGCAUCCUUAAUGACCCUGCAUCUUCUUCUGAGGCUUUAAGGAUCAAAGAGCAAGCAAUCUCUAAUCUCUCUGACCUGCUGAGACAAGAGAAUCGGGCAGAGGAACUUAAAAACCUUCUGACCCAAUUGCGGCCUUUCUUUUCUUUGAUCCCCAAGGCAAAGACAGCUAAAAUCGUUCGAGUAAUUGUUGAUGCAGUGGCAAAAAUUCCAGGUACGUCUGACCUUCAGAUUUCCCUUUGCAAAGAUAUAGUGCAGUGGACCCGUGCUGAGAAGAGAACUUUCCUUCGCCAACGAAUUGAGGCAAGACUUGCUGCUCUUUUGAUGGAAAACAAGGAGUAUUCUGAGGCGUUGACACUCCUUACUGGCCUCAUCAAGGAGGUGAGAAGAUUGGAUGACAAGCUGCUUCUUGUGGAGAUUGACUUACUAGAGAGCAAGCUUCAUUUUUCAUUGAGAAACCUUCCUAAAGCCAAGGCUGCAUUGACAGCUGCCCGAACAGCAGCCAAUGCUAUAUACGUGCCUCCAGGUCAGCAGGGCUCUAUUGAUCUGCAGAGUGGUAUCCUUCAUGCAGAAGAGAAGGAUUAUAAAACUGCUUACAGCUAUUUCUAUGAAGCAUUUGAAGCAUUCAAUGCCCUCGAAGAUCCCCAGGCCAUAUACAGCCUCAAGUACAUGUUGCUUUGCAAGAUCAUGGUGAGCCAGGCUGAUGAUGUUGCAAGCAUUAUAUCAUCACCCAAGGUGGGAUUACAAUAUCAAGGCCCCGAACUUGAUGCUAUGAAGGCUGUUGCUGAUGCUCACUCAAAACGCUCUUUGAAGCUCUUUGAGGUUGCUCUUCGAAAUUUCAAGGCCCAGCUAGAUGAGGAUCAGAUUGUCCACCGGCAUCUUUCUUCCCUCUAUGACACUUUGAUGGAGCAAAAUCUUUGCAGGUUGAUUGAGCCUUUCUCCCGGGUUGAAAUUGCUCACAUUGCUGAGUUGAUUGAGUUGCCUGCUGACCAUGUUGAAAAGAAGUUAUCUCAGAUGAUUUUGGAUAAGAAGUUUGCUGGAACUCUCGACCAAGGUGCUGGGUGCCUCGUGAUUUUUGACGAUCCAAAGACAGAUGUCAUAUAUCCUGCGACAUUGGAAACCAUUUCAAAUAUGGGGAAGGUUGUUGACAGUUUGUUUGUAAGAUCUGCCAAAAUAAUGGCUUGAGUUCUAGAUUGCAAGCUUUUUUGAGCUUGCUUGUUUACUGUCUAAAUUGACCCCAACUAGAACAGAGGUGUAUUUCAAAUUAAUGGUUGUUUUGAAGGGGUUUCCUACUUUCCUUACCCUUAGGACAAGGAUGUGGGGCAUUGAAGUCAUGAAGAUGUUCUUAGUUCAACCUUAAUCAAGUUUUAAAGUACAAUAUGUUUUGUUAAUCAUUUUUAGUCACAUUUAGUUCCUAGUUUGACUAUUGUUGAAUUCUAAAUGGUUCAAGCUCAAUAUCUCUUAAACAUCUACUAAUGCCUAACUACAUCCACUUUGCAAUGCA